UGUGUGUAGCUUAGUGGUAGAGUAUUUGCCUAGCAUGCAGAAGGACUUGGCUUUUAUCCCCAGCACUACAA
rnacentral:tRNA from 1 species